GACGAACGCUGGCGGCGUGCUUAACACAUGCAAGUCGAACGGAAAGGCCCUGCUUUUGUGGGGUGCUCGAGUGGCGAACGGGUGAGUAACACGUGAGUAACCUGCCCUUGACUUUGGGAUAACUUCAGGAAACUGGGGCUCAUACCGGAUAGGAGCUCCUGCUGCAUGGUGGGGGUUGGAAAGUUUCGGCGGUUGGGGAUGGACUCGCGGCUUAUCCGCUUGUUGGUGGGGUAGUGGCUUACCAAGGCUUUGACGGGUAGCCAGCCUGUGAGGGGGACCGGCCACAUUGGGACUGAGAUACGGCCCAGACGCCUACGUGAGGCAGCAGUGGGGAAUAUUGCACAAUGGGCGGAAGCCUGAUGCAGCAACGCCGCGUGCGGGAUGACGGCCUUCGGGUUGUAAACCGCUUUCGCCUGUGACGAAGCGUGAGUGACGGUAAUGGGUAAAGAAGCACCGGCUAACUACGUG
rnacentral:rRNA from 1 species